CUGCUCCAGGAGUCCCAACUGAAGCUGCGGAGAGUGGGUCCCUACGGCAGGAACGGACUGGGCGUUUCCGUUGUCUGCGUCUCGCUGCAGGAGCCAUAUAUUGAAAACAAUGUCUGGAAGCUUCUACUUUGUAAUUGUUGGCCACCAUGAUAAUCCAGUUUUUGAAAUGGAGUUUUUGCCAGCUGGGAAAGCUGAAUCCAAAGAUGACCACCGUCAUCUGAACCAGUUCAUAGCUCAUGCUGCUCUUGACCUGGUAGAUGAGAACAUGUGGCUGUCGAACAACAUGUACUUAAAAACUGUGGACAAGUUCAACGAGUGGUUUGUGUCAGCAUUUGUCACUGCAGGGCAUAUCCUUAUUUGUCGUAAAUACCUAACUAAAGCUCGAGUUAACAAACCAGAACAUGGAACAUAGACACCAGGCACUGAGUGAAUAGACUUCAGAGUCAGUAAAAAUGCAAAAAUUUCUAUUGAUUGGGGCUACCUUUAUUAUUAUUUUUUUUUUUAGAGAAAAGAUAUUUUGUUUGCAGCUAAUUCUAAAGCUAAAUCUCAUACAUCAAACUAAGGUUUUUCUGAACCAUAUCAGAGGUAAUUUUACUUUAUUUUAUAGUUGUUUAAAGAUUAUGUUUUCUAGGGCAGCGCCUGUGGCUCGGCAAGUAGGGCACCAGCCCCAUAUGCCGAGGGUGGUGGGUUCGAACCUGACUCCGGCCAAACUGCAACAAAAAUUAGCCAGGUGUUGUGGUGAGUGCCUGUAGUCCCAGCUACUCAGGAAGCUGAGGCAAGAGAAUCACCUAAGCCCAAGAGCUGGAGGUUGCUGUGAGCUGCGACUCAAUGGCACUCUACCGAGGGUGACAAAAUGAGACUCUGUCUCUAAAAAAAAAAAAAAAAGAUUAUGUUUUCUAAAAUAAAACUAACUUUAAAUCCAGUUUAUGUAUUCAACUUUUCCAUUGCAACAUAUACUGCAUGUGACUAAUUUGGAGAAUAUUACAUCGACUGAUUGCUUUCUGUUUUUC